rnacentral:rRNA from 1 species
UACGUAGGGGGCAAGCGUUGUCCGGAAUUAUUGGGCGUAAAGCGCGUGUAGGCGGCUCGAUAAGUCUGCUGUGAAAGUCCAAGGCUCAACCUUUGAAUGCCGCUGGAAACUGCCUGGCUUGAGUCCGGAAGGGGCGAGUGGAAUUCCUGGUGUAGCGGUGAAAUGCGCAGAUAUCAGGAGGAACACCAAUGGCGAAGGCAGCUCGCUGGAACGGUACUGACGCUGAGGCGCGAAAGCGUGGGGAGCGAACAGG